ACUGCUGGAAAAAAAACACGCAAAGAAGAGGCAAACGAAAAGAGGCUGCGAUGAAAACAAAACGACGCUCACAAGUAACGCCUUUUAUCGUAGCAGCUUAAACUCAAUUUGCAUUUAUGACAACAGUUUUUCCCGAUAUGUAAACUUAUUUAAAAUUUUAAUUAACUUGGACGAACUAAAUAUAUUACUCUAUUUUACCUCCAGAGUAACAAAAACAUAUUAGCUUAGCAUUAGCUGUCAUCAAGCCAGCUAGCUUAGCUUCUCCUGGGAAUUCUGACAGAGUUCAUCGACAACUUUAACAAAAACAAACAAUGUCGGACGAUUAUGAAUUCAGCGAUGACACAACUAUGAUGAGAAUGGAAGAGGAUGGAGAGGCAAACAGCGAUGACCCGAUGUCUGCAACCGGGGAUUGUGGCCUGAUGGGGGGCGAGGCCGAGGGAUCCAAGAUUGACGCCAGUAAAAACGAGGAGGAUGAGGGGAAGAUGUUUGUAGGAGGGCUCAGCUGGGACACCACUAAGAAGGACCUGAAAGAUUAUUUUUCCAAAUAUGGGGAAGUUGUAGACUGCACUUUAAAACUGGACCCAAUGACGGGCCGCUCGAGGGGCUUCGGCUUUGUCCUCUUCAAGGAACCUGAUAGCGUCGACAAGGUUGCCACACAGAAGGAACAUAAACUCAAUGGAAAGGUCAUUGACCCCAAGAAAGCCAAGGCCAUGAAGAGCAAGGAGCCUGUUAAGAAGAUAUUUGUUGGUGGUCUCUCUCCCGACACUCCUGAAGAGAAAGUCAGAGAGUACUUUAGUGCCUUCGGAGAGCUGGAGUCAGUUGAGCUUCCAAUGGAGAACAAAACAAACAAAAGGAGAGGCUUCUGCUUCAUCACAUUCAAAGAGGAGGAACCAGUUAAGGGGAUCAUGGAGAAAAAGUACCACAAUAUUGGACUGAGCAAGUGUGAAGUAAAAGUGGCAAUGUCCAAGGAGCAGUACCAGCAGCAGCAGUACUGGGGAGGCAGAGGAGGAUACUCAUCCAGGUCUCGAGGAAGAGGCGGCGGUCCCAAUCAAAAUUGGAACCAGGGUUAUGGCAACUACUGGAAUCAAGGCUAUGGGAAUUAUGGCAAUUAUGGUUACGGUGAUCAAGGAUAUGGAGGAUAUGGUGGCUAUGAUUACCCUGGUUACAACAACUAUUAUGGAUAUGGUGACUACAGCAUAGAUCAGUCUGGUGGAUAUGGCAAGUCACCGCGGCGUGGUGGUCACACCAACAGUUACAAGCCGUAUUAACGGAGAAAAUUCAUCUUCAAGUAGGUAUGUAAAGACAGAAAUGCACCUCUUACUUUGAACUUAAACUAGUUUUAUUAAUUUGCUGUUUGGUAACAUUAUGAUUAAUUUCCUCUUGUAAAUUUCUUUUUCUCAGCACCGUCAAGUGCUUUACAGUAGUGGUAACAUAGAGGCUACGCUCAUGUGGCGAAUUAUUUUAACAGCUGGCCUUCUGCUGCCUCUUUUGCACCUUUUUUUUUUUUUUAAUCUGUAAAGUUAACAGGUAAAGUACUACAGUAAAUGGAUGCCAAAGUUAAGGAUGUGCAAGGAAACAGAAAAGGAAGUAUGUUGUCUCCUAACUCUGACAUACCUUGUUUGUACCUGCCAGCGGAGCUUCCUUGCAGGCCAUGAGCUGACUCCCAGAUACUCUCAGGGCCCGCUCAAUGCGGACCGGGUACGAGAAGCAUACGCUCUCGAAUGCUGCCAUUUGGUAUGGUCUUACAACAUCCUGUAUCAGCAUUUCUAAACUAAACAAUAUGGGACACGUCCAGCUUUGUCAUCUUUCUUUCCAUUUUUAAUUUCUUUGCAACUGUUUGUAAUGUAAAACUUAAACUAUACACAUGUAAUUUUCAUUUUUUACAGGCCCACCCACAAGUAAUGAUUUUGUAAAUAUGUAAAAAUAACUAUUUGCUUUUUGAAGGAUACGUACAGCAUUCUCUGGACUUUCCAGUUCCUAUUGUUAAUAUAUGCAUUCCUAAUCUUAUCUGUAAUGCUUGUUUCUUUAUUUAGCUCUUGUAGCCAGUAGUCCAUGAGCUAAAUCCUGGUUGGUAUUUGGACGAGACUGUGUUGGGGGGAUAAAGUUCUUAACUUUGUGUACAUGUAUUGCUCUGUUUUGUGUUACUGACAGCGAUGGAAAGCGCUCCUCUUUGGUUAAUUUCCCUGUAACGACACAUUUUUUCUCUUUAUAACCUUUUGUAAAACAAGAAGUUUCCUGAAAUUUGCAUGUAAUGUUUUCUGUAAUGUGUAUUUUUUGACCAAUCAAAGAUUUCUUCCAUGUAGUAUUUUGACUUCUUCAAUUUAUUGGACUUCAGGAUUUCUAGCUUAUGGACUAACUUUUGUAAAAUGUUAAAGUUCUCAGUUUGGUUUGUAAACUAGGGGGAUUCCUUUUUAUUUAUGAAUGAACCAAUCUUUGUUCAUCUAUAGCUGAUUUGUUCUGUUUGUUUUUCGUAGGUUUCAGAGUGAUGAAAGGCAGCAGUGUGCCGGAGAGAUGAAGGUGUCCAGCAGAGAUCACUAGCUGAUUUAUUUCCUGGCAACACGUGUGGAAGUUCUUUGGAACGAGUCAGCCUGAAAGAAACAAAAAGGAUGCCCUUAUAAAACACCAGUGAUGGAAGACCUACCCACAUCCUUUUACUUAAAGGGGAACUCUACCGAUUGCACAAAUCUAGGUCUGUUUAAAUGUGGCAGAGAGUAAUAAUGCAUAUUUAAAAACAAUGUAUAGUGUCUUUUGUAGGCCCAGAUGGAGCUGCAGGGAGUCGGAUAAAUAUUGAAAACAACUAACCAUUAGCUCCUACUAGAAUAUAACACCUGAACCCAGACCUAGCUUUUUGAGAUUAAGUUGCAUUGUGGAUGAUAAAGGUGUGAAAUGAGACAUGAAAAAAAGACUUGAACUCAAGUUUUGCACAAAUCUGAAAAUGCAACAGGACAGCUGUGGUAAAUUGGUGGAGUACUCUUUAAGAAGAAGUGCCACAACUAAAAUGUAAUAGUGUUUAUUUACAAUCAAAAGUCAUGCACUAAUAAAUAAAAGAACAGAAGAAGUAACAAUGUUUUAAUUUGGGAAUUUUAGAGGGGAAAUGGCUGAUUAACUCAAUGCCCCCAAAAGUAGACAGAUUUUUUUUCCCACAGCAUUUGGUUGGUAGCCACUGUGUUUAAUAAAAAAUGUUUUUUUCAGGUUAAAUCUUAAUAUGAAAAGUAAUGUAAUAAGGCUACAAGUUACAUACAUCUUAAAUAUUGCAAGUGAAAAGUUCAAUUUGACCUCUGAUAAAGGGAUAUCAUAUCUUCUCUAUAGGAUUAUUGUGGCCAAAAUAAUUCUUUGUACAAAAUCACGAUAACUUAACAAAAUGUAGAGUAAAAAAAGUCAUCUUUAA